GGGACUGUAGCUCAGUUGGUAGAGCACCGGCCUUUUAAGCCGAGGGUCGAGGGUUCGAUCCCCUCCGGUCCCACCA
rnacentral:tRNA from 1 species